UGACUCCGAGAAACCAUCAUCUCCAUUUUGUUUUUUUUUUAAGUAGCCAAGUUUCUCGGAGAUCGGGGCUUUUCUUCUCCUUGAUCCGUCUCAGAUUUCUUGCUUAAUAUGGAGAAUGUAAUCGAAUAAAAUAAAUAGCCUUUUUUAACCUCUAGGAGUUUCAUGGGGAUUUGCUUUAGCGCUCAAGGGCAGUUCCAAUUCUCUCAAAACCAAAACUCCUCUCAGAAGAAGACACCAGGACCAGGUAUCUCAAUCUUAUCACAUCGGAUUCGGAUCUCCUUUAAAAAAAACAAAUUGAAUUUUGCAGUGUAUCUAAUGAAUACGGAUUGUAAAGAGUCGUCGUCGUCGGUGGGUGGGAAACCGAGUCCAAGCGGUUUGCCUUUGCCUCCGAAAAACAUCAAAGAUCUGCAGUCCAAUCCUGGUUACGAGAACGUCGACAUCUUCACCUACGAGGAGAUGAAGUUAGCCACCAAGCAGUUCAGGCCUGAUUUCAUCCUCGGCGAGGGUGGUUUCGGCGUCGUCUACAAAGGUCUCGUUGAUGAGACCGUGCGGCCUGGUUACAACUCCACCAAAGUUGCUAUCAAAGAACUUAAUCCAGAGGGCUUUCAGGGAGAUCGCGAGUGGCUGGUAUAUAUGUGUAAUUGUGCUAUGUAUCUAGAGAGAGUUAUGUUUUUUCAAAGUGUUUGAUUUUUGUUGUUGUAGGCUGAAGUUAACUAUUUAGGACAGCUUAGUCAUCCCAACUUGGUCAAGCUUAUUGGCUACUGCUGUGAAGAUGACCACAGGUUGUUAGUCUAUGAAUACAUGUCAUUGGGAAGCCUCGAGAAACAUCUCUUUCGAAGUAUGUUUCUGUUUUCCUCCUUUGUUUGUUUGUGAUUUAAGUCUUUAUAUAAUAUGAAAUGUUUCUUUCUCUUGGCAGGAGUUGGUUGCACUUUGACAUGGUCCAAACGAGUGAAGAUCGCUCUACACGCAGCCAAGGGUCUCGCCUUUCUUCAUGGUGCUGAACGCUCCGUCAUCUAUCGAGAUCUCAAGACUGCCAACAUAUUGCUCGACGAGGUCUGCUCUGUUUUCAGAUUUUAGAAUUGUUAGUGAAGUUACUACAGUCUUGUUUCGAUUUGUCUGUCUAUGCUGCCCCCCCUCCUGAAAGGUGUAAUGCUUGUGCAGUGUUACAAUGCUAAACUCGCUGACUUUGGACUAGCCAAAGAUGGCCCCAGCGGAGAUCAAACGCAUGUGUCAACACGUGUUAUGGGCACUUACGGAUACGCUGCUCCUGAGUAUGUUAUGACAGGUCUGUCUGUCUUUGCUAAUUUUCCAUUCCCACUUUUCAUAGCUGUUUUUAAAAUGACUCUAUUUGUUGUUGUAAUUAGGGCAUUUGACAUCGAGAAGUGAUGUUUAUGGAUUUGGGGUUCUUCUCCUUGAGAUGCUCCUUGGGAAAAGGGCAAUGGACAAAAGCAGACCUUGCCGGGAGCAUAACUUGGUCGAGUGGGCAAGACCGCUACUCAAUCACAACAAAAAGCUUUUGAGGAUCAUAGACCCUCGAAUGGAUGGGCAGUACACCACCAAGGCGUUGAUGAAAGUAGCUGAUUUGGCAUACCAAUGCUUAAGCCAAAACCCGAAAGGAAGACCCCUCAUGAGUCAUGUAGUAGAAGUCCUCGAGACUCUCAAGGAGGACGGUAAUGCCCAAGAGGAAGUCAUGGCUAAUCUCCAUAGCAGAGGCAAGUCUGUAACUUUAUAUCAAGCAGCUCCUUGUGAUUCUUCCCAAGGCACAAGAAACGUUGAUGGACAGAGGAGGAGUGGUAGAAGCAAGAGCGAAGCUUCCGUGGAUGUUUCUGCUCUUGUUUCAGACUCGGAUCCGGAAUCUACCAAAGUUUAAGACUCAAAACAAGAAAGAUUCACAAGUGAAUUGAGGAUUUAUGAUCAAGAAAGGUAGCAGAGUUGGGUUAAGUGUAUAAAUAAGCUGAGUCUUCGUUUUGGGGAUCCUUUUUUUCUCUUUUUAAUCUUUUUGGGGAUUACGAAUAUUAGUGCAAUAUGCAAUUUGAUCAACCUUUGAAAUUCAAAUGGAUUUUUGUUUUGAUCAAAGAAAAUGGUAUAUUUGACAAACUGAUUGCAUAACUUGGUAAUGCAUAGCAAUAUUAUAUAGCAUAUGAUAGGAGCACAUGUGUCUCUAUUCUUGUUUUGGUACAUAACAUGAUAAGACGCUGUCAGUUUGGUUGAGCCCAUGGAUCGAUCUGUGAACCUCCUGGAUCUAGCCUUAGGGUUUGAUGAGCCAUCGCCACUAAGAGGGAAGGUAGUGCUGAUCGAGGACUGUGUGGAGACGAGUGGUUCCUUUGUGCUUCACCAGAUGAUGAAGCGUGUUCUCUCCCCUCAUUCCUCUGAUUCCCUUAUCUUUCUCGCCUUUGCUCGCCCUUUCUCUCAUUACGAUCGAGUUCUGCGUAAACUCGUAAUCAUCCACAAUCCUUCUUUUUUUUCUUUUUUCUUUUUAUGUUCAUGGUUCUCAUUGUCUUACCAUGUUGGUCUGACAGGGAUGCAAUCUAGCUACUCAAAAGACAAACAAUCGAUUGGUUUUCGUUGACAUGCUCAUGAUGCAAUGCUCAGGUAAACUGGUGUUCUCCUAGUCAUUCGAGUGUUAGACGUACUUUUAGUUGGACUGUCGAUGUCUGAGAGUGCCUUGGCCUUAGGGAGAAUUAGGACAUCUCUAGAUCUGGCUCCUAACUUUUGGUUAUCUCGAUUGUUUUAUCACCAUUUCUUCUUUGAAAGCGACCACUUAAGCAAAUAUAGUAGCAUAUUGACUCUGCUCCCUGCAAAUCAGAUUUGGAAUAAUAUAAUUUUUUUUUUAACACAGAUAAUGAGAGUGGAGUUGCGAAGCUAUUUCGGGAGAUACAAGGAACAGUUGGAAAGCUACGCAGUGUGACUAAUAGCAACAUAACUGUUAUGGUGGAUGACAUGUCUCUCCUGGAAAUUGCUGCUGCCAAUAGCAAUUCAGAUCACGUCUUGGACUUCCUUCAUUACUGCCACACCUUAACUUCUGAAAGCGUAAGCUUUAUUCUUCUUUACUCUAUUAACCCCUUCUUAAUAACUUUUUUUCUCUACCAACAGAAUUGUUCGGUGGUCACUCUCAAUCACGAAGAUAUAUACUCGAGCAUGGAGAGACCUGCGUAUUUGCUACAGAUGGUAUGCCUUGCGGAUAUUGUGAUAAAAGCAGAGCCUUUAGCCUCAGGUUUAGCAAAUGACGUACAUGGCCAAGUAAAUCUCUCCUCCUCCUCCUUUUCUUUGGAAUCAUUAGAAACUAAUCUUUUGUGUUUGGCGUAAUACUAAUACAGCUGACAGUUGUGAACAAGGGGAUGAUAAGCAGCAAGUCGGGAAAAGGAAGCUCGAGGAACAAGUUGCAGAAUUUUCAAUUCAGGAUCAAGGAAAAUGGUAUUGAGUAUUUCUACCCUGGUUGCAGCAGAAACUGAGAGGAUUUGGAGAUAGUUUUUGACGGUUAUAAAUGUUGUAUGUUAGUGAGAUAUGCAGCUAAGACACGUGUGUGUGUGUGUGCGCUUUGGCAUAUGGAUGAGGAUUCUUUGACGGUUAUAAACUGAGGAUUCUUUGACUUGGUCGAAACACUGUUUUUCUUCUUUAAAAUUGGUUUAAACGGGCUUUAUUCUACAAAGUAUUGUUUCGUAGUAUUUUAUCCGGGUCGGGUUUAGUGUAACCGGAUCCUAAAUUCGUAACGAAAGAGAGAAGUCUCAUUCGUUUUCAACACCGACCAUUGGAGGGGGUCUAAUGUAUGGCUGGGACCUGUUUGGUGACGUGGAGAAAUAUAAUUGGUUAAAAAGUAAAUAAGAGUUAAGAGGGUUGGCUCUUCUGAUUUGGCGGCUAGUCUCUGAAAUUCCAUCGAUUCCAACGGAUCAUUCUCUCUCUCUCUACAAUUAUUCUUCCUUCCUUUUAUCUUUUUUGUUUUUCAUAUCUCUCUCUCUGCCUGACUCCGAGAAACCAUCAUCUCCAUUUUGUUUUUUUUUUAAGUAGCCAAGUUUCUCGGAGAUCGGGGCUUUUCUUCUCCUUGAUCCGUCUCAGAUUUCUUGCUUAAUAUGGAGAAUGUAAUCGAAUAAAAUAAAUAGCCUUUUUUAACCUCUAGGAGUUUCAUGGGGAUUUGCUUUAGCGCUCAAGGGCAGUUCCAAUUCUCUCAAAACCAAAACUCCUCUCAGAAGAAGACACCAGGACCAGGUAUCUCAAUCUUAUCACAUCGGAUUCG
rnacentral:lncRNA from 1 species